GCCCACAGCCCGGCGCUCCCUGCCGCGCCGCCGCCGCACCGCGCCCCACAGGAGAAGACGAACCGGGCCCGGCGGCCGAAGCGGCCCGCGAGGCGCGGGAGGCAUGAAGUUGGGCGCGCACGGGCCUCGAAGCGGCGGGGAGCCGGGAGCCGCCCGCAUCUAGAGCCCGCGAGGUGCGUGCGCCAUGGAGCUAGGGGGCCCCGGAGCGCCGCGGCUGCUGCCGCCGCUGCUGCUGCUUCUGGGGACCGGCCUCCUGCGCGCCAGCAGCCAUGUGGAGACCCGGGCCCACGCCGAGGAGCGGCUCCUGAAGAAACUCUUCUCCGGUUACAACAAGUGGUCCCGACCCGUGGCCAACAUCUCGGACGUGGUCCUCGUCCGCUUCGGCCUGUCCAUCGCUCAGCUCAUUGACGUGGAUGAGAAGAACCAGAUGAUGACCACGAACGUAUGGGUGAAGCAGCCUCCCCCCGCCCCACCUCAUCCAGGAGUGGCACGACUACAAGCUGCGCUGGGACCCAGCUGACUAUGAGAAUGUCACCUCCAUCCGCAUCCCCUCCGAGCUCAUCUGGCGGCCGGACAUCGUCCUCUACAACAAUGCUGACGGGGACUUCGCGGUCACCCACCUGACCAAGGCCCACCUGUUCCAUGACGGGCGGGUGCAGUGGACUCCCCCGGCCAUUUACAAGAGCUCCUGCAGCAUCGACGUCACCUUCUUCCCCUUCGACCAGCAGAACUGCACCAUGAAAUUCGGCUCCUGGACCUACGACAAGGCCAAGAUCGACCUGGUGAACAUGCACAGCCGCGUGGACCAGCUGGACUUCUGGGAGAGUGGCGAGUGGGUCAUCGUGGAUGCCGUGGGCACCUACAACACCAGGAAGUACGAGUGCUGUGCCGAGAUCUACCCGGACAUCACCUAUGCCUUCGUCAUCCGGCGGCUGCCGCUCUUCUACACCAUCAACCUCAUCAUCCCCUGCCUGCUCAUCUCCUGCCUCACCGUGCUGGUCUUCUACCUGCCCUCCGAGUGUGGCGAGAAGAUCACGCUGUGCAUCUCCGUGCUGCUGUCGCUCACCGUCUUCCUGCUGCUCAUCACCGAGAUCAUCCCGUCCACCUCACUGGUCAUCCCACUCAUCGGCGAGUACCUGCUGUUCACCAUGAUCUUCGUCACCCUGUCCAUCGUCAUCACGGUCUUCGUGCUCAACGUGCACCACCGCUCGCCACGCACGCACACCAUGCCCACCUGGGUACGCAGGGUCUUCCUGGACAUCGUGCCACGCCUGCUCCUCAUGAAGCGGCCGUCCGUGGUCAAGGACAAUUGCCGGCGGCUCAUCGAGUCCAUGCAUAAGAUGGCCAGUGCCCCGCGCUUCUGGCCCGAGCCAGAAGGGGAGCCCCCUGCCACGAGCGGCACCCAGAGCCUGCACCCGCCCUCACCGUCCUUCUGUGUCCCCCUGGAUGUGCCGGCUGAGCCUGGGCCUUCCUGCAAGUCACCCUCCGACCAGCUCCCUCCUCAGCAGCCCCUGGAAGCUGAGAAAGCCAGCCCCCACCCCUCGCCUGGACCCUGCCGCCCGCCCCACGGCACCCAGGCACCAGGGCUGGCCAAAGCCAGGUCCCUCAGCGUCCAGCACAUGUCCAGCCCUGGCGAAGCGGUGGAAGGCGGCGUCCGGUGCCGGUCUCGGAGCAUCCAGUACUGUGUUCCCCGAGACGAUGCCGCCCCCGAGGCAGAUGGCCAGGCUGCCGGCGCCCUGGCCUCUCGCAACACCCACUCGGCUGAGCUCCCACCCCCAGACCAGCCCUCUCCGUGCAAAUGCACAUGCAAGAAGGAGCCCUCUUCGGUGUCCCCGAGCGCCACGGUCAAGACCCGCAGCACCAAAGCGCCGCCCCCGCACCUGCCCCUGUCGCCGGCCCUGACCCGGGCGGUGGAGGGCGUCCAGUACAUUGCAGACCACCUGAAGGCCGAAGACACAGACUUCUCGGUGAAGGAGGACUGGAAGUACGUGGCCAUGGUCAUCGACCGCAUCUUCCUCUGGAUGUUCAUCAUCGUCUGCCUGCUGGGGACGGUGGGCCUCUUCCUGCCGCCCUGGCUGGCUGGCAUGAUCUAGGAAGGGACCGGGAGCCUGCGUGGCCUGGGGCUGCCGUGCACGGGGCCAGCAUCCAUGCGGCCGGCCUGGGGCCGGGCUGGCUUCUCCCUGGACUCUGUGGGGCCACACGUUUGCCAAAUUUUCCUUCCUGUUCUGUGUCUGCUGUAAGACGGCCUUGGACGGGGACACGGCCUCUGGGGAGACCGAGUGUGGAGCUGCUUCCAGUUGGACUGUGGCCUCAGGAGGCAGUGGCUUGGAGCAGAGGUGGGGGUCGGCGCCUUCUACCUGCAGGACUCGGGCUAAGUCCAGUUCAAGAGUCUCCUGAGCUCCCCUGCAGAUGGAACUCACUCCUCCCAGUCUCUCAGCAGAUCUGGUGAUGGUCCCGACCGCCCCAAGGGGCCCUUGAAGGGAGUUCACGCCCCUUCAGCCCCAAGCGCCCCGUCUUCUGGAGGCCCGGCCGCCUCUCCCACCCACCGUGUCCUGCGCCUGUGUGGGCUUCAACUUCUCCCCCAGGGUCCUUGAGCCUCUCGGGCCCCAUGAGGGUGAGCCAGCAGCGCUCCAAUCUGCUUCGCUAGGAGAGGGUCCAGGCAGGGAUUGUGUUUGGUUGUGUUUUGGGUAAGUUAGUGAGAACUCAAGUCUUGUGCCUAAGGAGCCUUGGAGAACAGAGUUUUGUGGAGCUGGUUCCGCGUGGGGAGAAUCGGGAGGCCCACGCGGGACCAGCUCUCCCCUGCGCAGGCCCUCCGCGGGGGACAGGAACACCCAGCCCCAGCGAGUCUGGAGACCAGGACUCUGCCUUCCAGGCGUAGGGCCAGGGCUCUGGCAGGUGGCCAGGGCUCCACGGGGGCCUAGUGGCUUCAGCCCCUGGGGUACUUCUGUGUUGUGAUUCCCCGGAGCUGGGAAGGUCCCGAAUGGAGUCCAGACCUGGGCCCUGGUUCCCCCAGGACCCUGAGGGUUUCCACCUUGGCGCGCAGCCCGGGAGAUCCGCCCUGGGCUCUGGGUUCGGGAAGAAGGACUUCCUGCUACAGUAGCUGUGGGGAGCUGGUGGGGGCAUCCUUGAGGACCUCCACCUGGGAGAUGCUGGGACCCUCGGGGCAGGAAGUCCCUGAGAAGCCUCAUGGGAGUCAGGGAGCCCUGGGGUUUCCACACAGGCCCAUGCCCUCCGUCCUGGCAGGGCAGGCAGAGCUCAGCACAGCCUCACCCCUGCAGGCGGUAUCCAGAGGUGAGGGAGGCCUGAAAUGUUUCCAGGCAUGACCCUGGAGCCCGGCAGUGCACCCCCUAAAGAUGGCGCACCCGGCAGCCCCCCAGUGUCCCCAGGGGCACACUUCCCCUUGGGAUGGGCACAGGCUGCCCCACCCCUCCAUGAUUCCAAGGGCCCAGAGGGGCGGGGCCAGGAUGGCGUGUCCCCUGCCUGUGAGUGACAUCGGUUCAGGAGGAGACAGUCAGGAAGCCUCCUGCUGAGUGGUCCACAUUCUGCUGCCCCCAGACCCCAUCCAGCCAGGGGUGGGGAUGGGGUUGGGCUCUGCGUCCCACUGAGUCUCAUUCCUCUGUCCCCGAGCCGAGCUCUCCUGGGCCAGGGUCUCGUCAGGAGGUGCCUGAGAGCAGAAUGAAUAAUUGAGGUUAGGAACCCGGCAUGCCGAGUGCCCCAGAAAUGCCGCUGUGUCCCCGCGGGCAGUGACGUGAGUGGGGAGGAGACUCAGGCCCACAUUGCCCACACCUGCCUCUGAACUGCUGCUGGUCACCCCCACCCCCGGGUGCCUGUGACCGGGGUCCUGAGGCUGGGGCUUUUGUGCCAGGAGUGGGUGGGACACAGAGACCCCCGUGCCAAAUCCUGGGCAUCCCCAGCCCCCUGGCCCCUCCCACAUCCCCCGUGUAUUCAGGACCCCAUCUGCUGAGCUCUGACCUGCCCCCGCUCUGCCAUCAGCCCCUGCUGCUCCUCGGCCAGAGCUCCCAGGACGCAGGGAGACCCUGGGAGAGUGAGGUCAUCCCGGGGCCAUGGAAGCUGGCAGGAGACACUGGUCUCAGAGGAGGGAUAGAGACGCAGAUUUCAGAUGUAAGAAGCCCGAUCCACAUUGCAUAAGUGGACCCAGCUGCCAGAUGUGUGGGCAGCUGCAGGGAGUGGCCCGGGGUGCUGGGCCCAGCUGUGGUUGUUCUUUUCUGGGUCAGGAGUGACUGCGGAGUGGCUGGGACGCUCCUGCCGGGGGACCCUCCUGCCGGGGGUGGCCGCUUGCCUGGGGGAAGACCCCUUUCCCUUUCUUUUUUUUUUUGAGGCUCAAAAAAAAAAUCCAAAUAAAGCACCAUAUUCCCACCACGCCAAAUUAACCUUGACAACAAUGUUGGCGUAUUUGCGUCCAGUGCUGUUUUUAUUAAUUAAGGUAAAAUUUACAUAUGGUGAGAUGCAUGCUCUUCAGUGGAGACCCAGCCCCUAGAAGGUCCCUCCAGCCCUUCCUGUCGGCGUCCCUCCCCAUCUGUGGCUCUGACUUAAGCACCGUGGAUUGACCUCUCCGGCUCACGACCUUCGAGGAGUCAGAAUCCUGCAGUUGGAGCCUUUGAUGUCUGGCUUCUUCAUCCUAUGACUUAGAGCUUCAUCCGUGCUGUUGUGUGUGUCCGUAGCUCCUUGCUGUCUGUUCCUUCGUUUUUAAUUGUGAGCAGUGUUCUUCUGUCUGAAUAAACUAAGACGCAGUUUGUCCAUCACCUGUUAGUGGACUUUGCUUGCAGCUGUCGGUGAUUAGGAAUGGAGGUGCCGGUGUGUGCAUGGCACUCUAUCCGUUAUGCAUGUUUAUUUUCUGCAUCUGUUAAUGUUUUAACAUCUUUCAGACCCAGGACUGCUCCUCCUAGGGCCAGUUAGUUCCCGGGGGUGGACAGCUUGCCUAGAACCCACCUUGCCAGGGCUGUGACCCCCGACCCCCUAUCAAAGUCUCACACUAAGCCAACGUUUCCCCGCCCUGUGCCAGGCACCAGGCAGCGGGAGACACUGCUGCAGCUCGAAGCCUGCCGGGGCGCCGGCCCCUCUGCGGCUGCUUGCGCCAUCCUGCCCCCUCCUUCCCAGGGGAGGCCCCAGUGAAGGCCCUGGCCAGGGCUUCCCAGCCCCUUCUGCCUCCGGACCGGCCUGGGUGCUUCCCGUGUGGCCCGGCCUGGGGCGACGUGGCCCUCCUCUCAGGAAGCGUGGUAAUCUCUCAAUGGCUGGCCUCCGGAGUUGUCACUCAGGCUCCCUUGUAAGUUAAGGCCGGGCCCAGGACACUCUAGGGCACGCAGCUGCUGUGGGACUGCUGGGUUAGGUGUCCCCUGGAGCAGAGGCGGCUUCGGAUUUCUAAAGUGGCUGAGUCCUUUCACCUUGCACCAGAAAUGCUGGAUCAGGCGCAGCACACACAGCACCUGGGGAUGCAAGCCCGGCCAGCCCCAUGGACCAAGCCCCGCCGACCGUGUGGCCCGCCGAGCCCAGGUGCGGCCGCCCGGCUUCUGCAGGCAAUGUCUGCCAAGCCCUGGAAUGUGCUCCCAGUGUGUGCACAGACUUCAAUGAAUAAAACGCACCGUCACCA